CAGUAGCCGCGGGAAUACGUAGGGUGCAAGCGUUAAUCGGAAUUACUGGGCGUAAAGCGUGUGCAGGCGGUUAUAUAAGACAGAUGUGAAAUCCCCGGGCUCAACCUGGGAACUGCAUUUGUGACUGUAUAGCUAGAGUACGGCAGAGGGGGAUGGAAUUCCGCGUGUAGCAGUGAAAUGCGUAGAUAUGCGGAGGAACACCGAUGGCGAAGGCAAUCCCCUGGGCCUGUACUGACGCUCAUGCACGAAAGCGUGGGGAGCAAACAGGAUUAGAUACCCGCGUAGUCCCUGUCUCUUAUAC
rnacentral:rRNA from 1 species